AUGCCACGAGAGGUGGUGACGUAUUUCCGUUUGAAUUUAUUCCACAUAGGUUGGUUCCGGGUCCUGCUUGCUCCUAUUGUUCUUGGCCGAAGCUGCAAGAUCUGUACCAUGAAAAAGACGCAAAACUUAAAAUAUCUGUGAGCUACUGGUACAACAAUCGAGUUUUUUGGUGUGCCGUUGUGUCCAAUAAUUAGCCAGUACCAUCCAGUGCUUAGUUUUUUCAUUUUCCUGCUGAUAUCAAGGCGACAGCGGGCUGUAGCCAAAACUUAGCCACUACAGCUAACACACGGUUUGUAGCUGCCUGCUAUUUCAAAGCUUGAGGAUAUUGAAGAUCCAGCGUCAGAAAUGGGAAGACGGAGGUAAAAAGUGAACUGUACGAAAAUAAUGCCGGAGGAAAUCUACUGCUACGGAAACAGGCUGAGAACAGAGGCAGCGAUUCGGCACACGGUAAGUCAAUACGUGUGUUGAUGCGUUUGUGUUAUACGGAGUAUGAAAUUAUUCUUAGGCAACUCCUUAGUUUUUUGUUUAUGUGACAAUUAUAUAAAAUACAUUUAACAUGCAGUCGGAGAGCCCCUCCGAUACCGAGCACGGUAAUUUAAGAACAGCCGAGAGCAGCAACGCUUCAGCCGGAUCCAAACCACACAGGUAGUCAGUCAGAUUAAGGUCCAAAACCUUCGCUUUACAGCCGUUUAAGUGGCACCGAUCCACAU